GACGAACGCUGGCGGCGUGCUUAACACAUGCAAGUCGAACGGAAAGGCCUGCUUUCCCUUGUGGAUUGCGGGUACUCGAGUGGCGAACGGGUGAGUAACACGUGAGUGAUCUGCCCCCAACUUGGGUAUAAGCCUGGGAAACUGGGUCUAAUUCCCGAUAGGACUGCAGGGUGGUGCCUGUGGUGGAAAACGAUUUUCUAGUGGUUGGGGAUGAGCUCGCGGCCUAUGAGCUUGUUGGUGGGGUAAUGGCCUACCAAGGCGGCGACGGGUAGCCGGCCUGAGAGGGUGGACGGCGACAGUGGGACUGAGAUACGGCCCAGACUCCUACGGGAGGCAGCAGUGGGGAAGAGUGCACGAUGGGCGGAAGCCUGAUGCAGCGACGCCGCGUGGGGGAUGACGGCCUUCGGGUUGUAAACUCCUUUCGGCCGCGAGGAAGCCACCUGGUUGGAAGGGUGGUGACGGUAGUGGGAGAAGAAGCACCGGCUAACUACGUG
rnacentral:rRNA from 1 species